rnacentral:tRNA from 1 species
UUGUCUGAUGCUCAGGUGGUUAGAGCGCACCCCUGAUAAGGGUGAGGUCGGUGGUUCAAGUCCACUCAGGCCUACCA